CUGACAUUUAUUUAAGAAUAAGAGACUGUGCCAGGUGCUUCAUGCCCUUAAUCUUAGCAGUUGAGAAGUAGAAGCUCGUGGAUCUCUCUGAGUUUGAAGGCAGCCUGGUCUACAUAUUGAGUUCCAGCCACAGCUACAUGGUGAGACCCUGUCUCAAGGGGGAAAAAAUGUGGGGGCAGGAAAUGGUGGCACAUGUUUGUAAUUCUUAUGCUUGGAAGGCUGACUGUGCGUUGAAGUCCAGCCUAAGCUACAUAGCUGGUAUCAAGAGAAUCAAGCAGACCUGGAGUGAUGGUUCAGUGGGUCAGUGUGCUUGUGCCAUAUGCAGAACCAACACAGAGGUGGAGACAUGACUCCAUAGAGUUGUCUUCUGACCUCUCUGUGCCCCCUACAUCAGGCAUGUGCAAAUUAUACAUCAUCAUCAUCAUCAUCAAUGAGUUAAAACCAUGCAGGGCCUGGAGGGAUGACUCAGCAAUUAAGAACCCUGGUUGCUUUUCUAAAGGAUUGGAGUUCAGUUCCCAGCAGCUCCAUCAGUUUACAGCUGCCUAUAACUCCAGUUCACAGGGACCUGGUGUCCUCUUCUGACCUGCAGGUACCAAAAAUCCAUAGACACAUUUUUAAAAAUUAAAAAUGCAAAGAAAAAAGUACUGUUAGUCAUUUGUAUCUGAGCAAAUCAGCAUCUGGAAUGAAAGGAUCACGUUGGCCCACAGUUUCAGUGAUUCCAGUCCGUGAUUGGCUGCUUCCAUCUCUCUUAGGGCUGGGACAAGGCAUUAACAUUAUCACAGAUGGGCAAGGUGUGGGGAACUCUCACCUCAUGGCAACUGAGAAGCAGAGAUAGACAGGAAGACAGGAGGAACACCAUACACCCUCCAGGGCUCUGAGAGGGCUCAGUGGUUAAGAACAUUUGUUGUUUUUGUAGAGGACUUAGGCUCAAUUCCCAGCACCUACAUGGCAGCUCACAGCUGUCCUCAACUCCAGUUUCAGGGGAUCCAAAACCCUCUUUUGGUCUCUGACAGCACCGAGCACAAAUAUAAUUCAUAGACCUACAUGCAAGUAAAACAGUAAUACACAUAAAAUGAAAACAAACUGAAUCAAAUAUAUAUUCACCUCCCAGGCCCUGCCACCUACUAGCCCAUUCACUAUAAACUGAUCAAUGGAUUAACCCCGCCAAUGAAGUCAGUGCUUUCAAUGGGGCCCAUGACUGUGGACUAAGCUUCUAACAUAUGGACCUUUGGGGACAUUUCAUACCAAAACCAUAACAAAUAAUAAAUUAGUUCUGACCAUAACGCUCAUAGUACUUCCAUUGUGGGAAAGGGAGUCACAAGAUGGCUCCGCAGGUAAAGGUAGUUCUGUUGGACUAUGAGGUGCAGGUGGAUUCUUUUCUUCUUUUUCUGUACUUCCCAAGAUUUCUACAAUGAACAUACAUGAGAUGGCUUAACAGGAAGUACAUGCUGCCAAGCCCCAUCCCUGAGCCUCUUAUGGUAAAAGGAGAGAACUGAGUCCCAUAGGUUUUCUCACUUCCACAAGCACGAGAGCAUCAGCCUCCCCAAAACAAAACAAAUGUAAUGAAGAGGAACUCAAUUAGCUAGGCGUUGUAGCCCACACCUUUAAUCCCAGCACCCGGGAGGUAGAGGCAGGCAGAUCUCUGUGAGUUUGAGGCCAGCCUGAUCUACAGAGUGAGUUCCAGGACA
rnacentral:lncRNA from 1 species